GCGGGAGUGGCGGAAUGGCAGACGCGCCAGACUUAGGAUCUGGUGCCUUCGGGCGUGGGGGUUCAAGUCCCCCCUCCCGCAC
rnacentral:tRNA from 1 species